rnacentral:rRNA from 1 species
AACAGGAUUAGAUACCCUGGUAGUCCACGCCCUAAACGAUGUCUACUAGUUGUCGGGUCUUAAUUGACUUGGUAACGCAGCUAACGCGUGAAGUAGACCGCCUGGGGAGUACGGUCGCAAGAUUAAAACUCAAAGGAAUUGACGGGGACCCGCACAAGCGGUGGAUGAUGUGGAUUAAUUCGAUGCAACGCGAAAAACCUUACCUACCCUUGACAUGGCUGGAAUCCCUGAGAGAUUGGGGAGUGCUCGAAAGAGAACCAGUACACAGGUGCUGCAUGGCUGUCGUCAGCUCGUGUCGUGAGGUGUUGGGUUAAGUCCCGCAACGAGCGCAACCCUUGUCAUUAGUUGCUACGAAAGAGCACUCUAAUGAGACUGCCGGUGACAAACCGGAGGAAGGCGGGGAUGACGUCAAGUCCUCAUGGCCCUUAUGGGUAGGGCUUCACACGUCAUACAAUGGUACAUACAGAGCGCCGCCAACCCGCGAGGGGGAGCUAAUCGCAGAAAGUGUAUCGUAGUCCGGAUUGUAGUCUGCGACUCGACUGCAUGAAGUUGGAAUCGCUAGUAAUCGCGGAUCAGCAUGUCGCGGUGAAUACGUUCCCGGGUCUUGUACACACCGCCCGUCACACCAUGGGAGCGGGUUUUACCAGAAGUAGGUAGCUUAGCCGUAAGGAGGGCGCUUACCACGGUAGGAUUCGUGACUGGGGUGAAGUCGUAACAAGGUAACC